AUUCAGGCCAAUAGCAGUGAUGCUAUCAGCCGACCCGCCCCCAUACCCUCACGCUCUUCUUCUCCCUCGUCGCGUGACCACCCACUUGUAGUGACUCAUCCUUGCUCGUCCAUCUCCGACGCCGUUUGACAAAAAUCGAUGCUCCAACGUCUCUUUCGCUUUUUCUGCCCGGCCUGCAACUCUCGUCCUUGCGCAGCAGAAUGCACGCGAAUCAUACUGGCUAGCAUGAGAUAUAGCUCCACAUAAAGCUGCAAGGACGGAUGGAGCGAGCCGGAAGAAAUUUUUUUCUCGUACGAAAGCCAUUUUUCCCUCCUUCGAAAGAAAUCUUUUUGAAUUGGAGGGUUAAUUUAGAGUCCCGUCAUUUCCCUUUUCUCUCCCAUUUUGAAAACCCUAGUACCCCCUAUAGAAUAUCCUUCUCUUGUUCAUUGGAGGGGGUUUGAAAAAAUUUUGGGGAUUUUUGGGGUCUAUGGGGAAUUUUUUGUCAGUUUGAGAAAAAUUUUGGGAAGACUUUGGGAACUCUUGAUUUGCAGUUUUUUAUAUACAUACUAAAAAUCUUUAAAAUUACGAAGAGGAUAAUCGACCUGGCCUAAAACUCCUCCACCCUCCCUCUGUCAGCGUUUCCCUCUGUAUUUUGGUCGAGCUUUGGGAUUUUAUUUGGAGUUUGUCUGUUGCUAUUCCAUCUUUGCGUUUUGGUGUGAUUGUCGCUGCCUCCCUGCUCGCUGUCCCCGUUCGCUGCCCACAACAAGUUUAGGUUCCUGUCAUUGAAGGAUUUUGGAGACGACUUUGCAGAAGACUUUGAAUUCUUGAUCAUCCAAGUAUGGUAGAUCCUCACUUUCCGAGGGCAAUGCCACUAUAAACACUAUGAUGUUGCUUUAGUUUUCAGACUCUUAUGUUUCUUUCUUUUUCAUUUGGAUAUUAAACGUUGUAUGACCUAUAUGUGGUCUUCUUUCAUUGAUGUAUGGGCUAGGCCCAAUUUGAUAUACUCUUAUGAGAUGAGAUGACUAUUUGAGACUAUGUUAUAUUCUAUUUAUUUAUGUUCAGUAAAAGUAAUUUAUAUCUAUUACGUGUA